rnacentral:rRNA from 1 species
AUUGAACGCUGGCGGCAUGCCUUACACAUGCAAGUCGAACGGCAGCACGGGAGCAAUCCUGGUGGCGAGUGGCGAACGGGUGAGUAAUAUAUCGGAACGUGCCCAGUCGUGGGGGAUAACGCAGCGAAAGCUGUGCUAAUACCGCAUACGAUCUACGGAUGAAAGCGGGGGCUCGCAAGACCUCGAGCGCUUGGGGCGGCUGAUAUCAGCUUAGCUAGUUGGUGAGGUGAAGGCUCACCAAGGCGACGAUCUGUCGCUGGUCUAAGAGGACGACCAGCCACACGGGAACUUGCACACGGUCCAGACUCCUACGGGAGUCAGCAGUGGGGAAUUUUGGACAAUGGGCGAAAGCCUGAUCCGGCAAUGCCGCAUGCAGGAUGAAGGCCUUCGGGUUGUAAACUGCUUUUGUACGGAACGAAACGGUGAGCUCUAAUACGGUUUGCUAAUGACGGUACCGUAAGAAUAAGCACCGGCUAACUACGUGCCAGCCGCCGCCGUAA